UACGUAGGGGGCGAGCGUUGUCCGGAGUUACUGGGCGUAAAGGGCACGCAGGCGGUCGCUCGCGUUUAGGCUGACAGCGCCUCGCUUCACGAGGCGAGUGGUCUAAAAACGGGGCGACUUGAGGCAUUCAGAGGGACACAGAAUUCCGGGUGGAGUGGUGAAAUGCGUAGAGAUCCGGAGGAAUACCAAAGGCGAAGGCAGUGUCCUGGGGAUGACCUGACGCUAAGGUGCGAAAGCCAGGGGAGCGAACGGG
rnacentral:rRNA from 1 species